rnacentral:sRNA from 1 species
GUAAAAGAUCAAAAAGCCUUAUCAUGCUUGCAUGAUAAGGCUUUUGAACUUGGAACCCGCCAAACAUGAGAAAGUACCGAUUUACGUAGUAAAUCAGCGGAUUUCGAAUGUUUGUAGAAUUGCGGGAGCUGCUUCGCAGCGGAGCAAUUCGCAGGCAUC